UAACGGAAGAAAAUAAACACCGCCAUUAUUUCACCAAUCAAUUUAUUUUAUUUAAGCCUGACUAAUUAAUUGUUCAUGCAUUAUGGAAAAAAAUAUUACCCAUCACAACGCCAUUAUCUUUGCUUGCAAAUCCCUUCAAUGUUCAGCUAUAUAAACCUAAAAAGAAAAAAAAUAAAAUUAUCCUGGGAAGGCUCUCAAUGCGUAUUGUAUUUGGAAUUUUCCCAAGAAAAGUCUUCUGAUUUUGAUUUUUAUGUUGAUAUUUUUGUUAGUUUUAUUUGGUGCUUUACCAUAAAAUAUUCUCCGAUUCUGAUUUUAUUUUAUUUCUUUGCAUCUUUUUUUUGGUGCACGAUAUAUUUGGAGACAAAGCAGCCUAUUAAGUAACGUCGAUUGAAUUGCGGUAUGAUUUGAAUCUUUUUGUGAUAAAAUAGGUUAAGAUGUAAGAUGUAUGAAGACAUUGAUGAACUUUUGAUUUCAAAUUGAUUUUCAAUUUCGUUGAUAUGGCAUUUCUCUCACUCACAUGAACUAUGAGAAAUUGGAUUAACUCAAUUCAAUAGCUGAAAUACAUAUGAGAUUUCGACGUAGAAGUGGAUGCAAUCGAAAUGAUUCCUUCGUUUUAGGUCUGAUUAACUUCUGCAAUCCAAACCUAUUUUGGCUUUGAUUCACUUCUCUUACAAAGGCACUUCCUUUCUUUUUUCUUUUUGUUUUUUUAUGUAACUUGAACAUUUCAAAGCUAUGAUUAAGUUUUCUUAUUUCAAUUUUGUAGACACGGUUAGGGAUUCAAUUUAUUUAUUUUUUAAAUUACUUUUUACCUUGAUUGUGUUAGAUAGAAAUCUUGAUGAGAAGUGGUAUUGCCAGUAAAUCCUUCAUUUAAUUUUGUUGAUUGGAUAACCCUAUAAUGUGUUGUUUUGUGCUACUCCCAUCUAGGGCUUCUAUGCAACAAUUAUGAGGUAUAAUCUUGGUUUCUAUCAUUGUCAUUUUAUGUCUGUAAUUUCUUUAUUGGUUCAAUACAUUAAUAGAAAGUGUCUACUUUAAUUUUGCAGGAAUUUUCUUGCUCACCAUUUGAUAUGCUUUAGUUAGUUUACUGAGAUAUGAGUUUAUAGACUCGCCUUGAAAAUUGCUUAAUAGAUUGAAAAGUUCGUUUGGUUAAUAAACUAAAUUUGAGUUUGUUCUUUCUCAUCUUUUGAACCGCAAAGUUGUUUUGGUUUGUUAAUUUCACUAACUAAAACUACCUCUAAUAAAAGUCGAAAGAGGGUGGCAAAGAUAUUGUUAUCAUUGUUCCAAAGAUUCUGAUUUUGAGUUUAUUUUGUGUUCAAUCCAAAUGUGACUUUCUUUCUUGGUAUUGUAUUCUCAUAAUGAGAAAAUUUUAGUUUAUUCAUAACAAAGGUUAUUGUAAUUAACUUAGUGAUAUUUGAAACAAUUUGAGCUCUUCCUUCCAUCGAUCGCGCACUGAAUUUAUGGUUAUUUUUGGCGUAAAAUAUAACAUAUCUCAUUCUUCAGGAUACUCAUGGUUUUUUUUUUUGUAGAACUCGUACACCAUGCUUUACUCCAUUUGUAGCUACAUGCUUAAUUUCCGCUAGGUUCAUUAACCCAUUUUCAUUUUGUUGAUCAACAAAAAAUAUGGAAGGUCGAGGCACUUGAUUUGGACAAGACAAUGGGCUUGAUACUAUAAAAGAAACUGCCAUGGACUAAAGACUUGAGGAUAUAAAGGCACUUCGUAGUCAUUAUAAUUUGAAGUCGCUGGCAUGCUUGAUGGGAAGGUCUUCCAUCUGACUGGAGGUGAGAAGGAUCUGCAUUGCACACUGCAUGUUGAGCUUUUGUGCUCCUGUGAUGCAAGAUAUUUUGAUUUUGCAGGAUGGCUGAUAAAGUAUAGUUGGUGGAUGUAUAAUUAUAUGGAUUUGUUUUUUUAAGGUUUCUAAGUUCUGCUUCGACCUGAUGAAACACGAGCAUGCAAUACAUAAAUAAGGAUAUCCCAUCCAAGAAGAUAAAAGUUUGGGUUGAUUUUUUCCCCGAAAGCUAUGUCUAUUUUGGGCACAUAUCUUUCUGAAAUGGUACCAAGGAAACGAAGUGAAGAUAUUAAUACUACUGAACGUGGUGCUAUCACAGGUACAUAACUGAUUACCUCAACGAGUUUAAUCUCUAUGUAUGUCUGCUAUGAAAAUACUAAUUGCUUGCUUGCAUGUUAUAUACUGAAACAUUUUUAAUGUACCACGUAAUUGCCUUGAAUCCUUAAAUGCUACUCCAGUGGUAAAACUAAAAAAAAAAUACCUUGGGGACAUGUUGUGAUAUCUUUUUGCAAAAAAAUUACACAUGGUAUAGGUUAAUUGUUGCUUUGGAGGACAUGUCACAUUGUCAAUUCCAACAUUUAAGAAUCAUUAUGUUGAGAAUAUGCUAGAGAAAGUUGCGGCUAAAUUCACACUCCUGGAUUUUCAUAACCAUGUCUAAAGUUGCGGCUACUACAUCAACGAAUCAUACAAGUAAGAUGUGAUGUGUUUAAUAAAACUUGUUCUACCAAGAAACCGCAACGCAACAUUUAAGCUUAAACAUUUCACGAUGAUCAUGUGCAACGAUCUCUAGAAGAUCGAGGGAAAAAAAAUUCAUAAAAACUAUGUCCAACCAAAGAAAGAUUACAAAGAAAAUCUAUUUUUUGCUGCCUUCCAGGUAUCAUUUAAUAAAGCAGAGAGAUGAUGUGUGAAUCAUAUUGUACAAAAUUAAUAAUAUGGUAAGAAAGAAACUUAUUUUCAUUGCCUCCAACAAAAGAAACUGUGUGACUUACAAAAAAUAAACCUUAAGUAACUAACUCAAACUGCAUUAUUUAAGACAUGAAUGAGGCUAAUGCAACUGAAAUUAAAAAGAUCUUAGUCAUUACCUUCCACAAAGAAAAGAACUAAAACCAAAAUAACUCAUAUGUAUACCACAUACAUAAUUUAUAGGACAUAAAUUGACAUUGGCAUAUAGGUGACUUCACACAUGAGUUUAAUCACUAUCAUCUUCUUAUGAUUAUUUGACACUGAAAUCCCCUAAAUCAAAAAAUCACAAAAUCAUUAAAAAAAAUGCCAAUAUGAGACCGAAAUUUAUAGCUAACGAAACCGAAAGUAAUGGCGAAUACAUCGCUAUACUACAUUGAAUUCAAGGGUAAUUUGCUUUUUCAGUUUAUUUAAGUUCGUUUGAUCAGUUCUUUUCUUUAUCAUAGAUCUGAAAAUUAUUGAUCAUAGCGAGAUCCUUGAAGCUAAUGCAACUGAAAUUUCGUUGACAAUAUCCUGUUUUGGAAAAGCAGUGGCAAAAGAUGAUGCAAAUUCUUCAAUGGCUAGCCUCAUUCAUGUCUUAUAUAAUGCCUCCAACAAAAGAAACUGUGUGACUUACAAAAAAAAAAAACUUAAGUAAGAACGCGCGAUUGGGGGAUAUGAAUUAUUUCCCUCAACCAAAGGUGUCUGCUAAAGGGUGUUUUUUGGGGCGACAAUACUAAAAUACCCUUUGAUUAAUUAAAAAACAUUAUGAAAAUACUGUUAUACCCUCCCCAUAAAAUAAAAACUUAAAACUAAAAAUCAAAAUACCAAAUCAGUAUCCCUCAUUCAGUUCCGGCACACUCUAGGUUAGGGUUUCGAAGAAAAAAAAAGUUCAUCUUCUUCAUCGACGAUUAAUCGUUAACUCAAAAAUUUCUUCGUCGAUUAACCUACCCAAAUCCAUAAGAAUGCCUCCACGAAAGAAAUCAGAUGCCCAAUUGAAAUCAAAAUCGAUUGAUCAACAAAAACAAGAAAAAAGGAUUGCUUUGAUUGCUCAAGAGAAAGAACACGAAGAACAAGAGGCUUCGGACGAUCAACUUCUCGUAAACAUGGCUUCUGUGAGAAGGGCUAAAGCAAAGGAAGCUAACAAACGAAAAACUAAAGAUGCUUGCAUUGAGAAAAGAAGGAAGGACGGUCUUGGUACUCCUGAGUUUCUGCCUCCUAGAGGGAAAGACCAAGGUCGCAAAAUCCGUUUGGGGGCUGAUACAAGAGGUGAAGUUUGGGAGAGUGGUCGUGACCGUAGUAAACUCGUAAUCCGUGAACCUACCGAAGCAGUUGAGGAGGAAGAUGAGCAAGAUGAAGAGGAAAGUUAGGAGGAAGAUAAUGAGAUUAAACCAAGUCAAUUAGCAACCCAAAUCCAAGCAGUAGUGGAACAAGGUGGGCCAAAUCAACAACCGACACAAGGCAAGGGCAAAGUAAAAUUUAAAGGUUCGCACCUUCCUCGUAUUGAUGACAUGAUACCCGACCUUGAUCGUGGUAGAAUUUGGGGUGCAGCUUCUUAUGAUCCGGGGUAUCUAUUUGGCUACAAGGACUCGUGGGCUCGUACUAUAUAUCAGACCUAUGAUCAUAAGAAGGCUUUGCGUUUUUGCCGAAACCAAGCCGCAUCUCAUUGGAAUUUGUCUGCGGAAUAUGAAGAGGUCCAAACAUUAGUAAAGAAUUCUGGUCUAUAUCCUUUGGUUGAAAAUUAUGUGAAGCCAGAUAUUGUGACAGUCAAUUACUUCGUCGAAACGUAUCAUGGUGAAUCAGAUACCAUGCACUUCCCGUUUGGCGAGAUGACCUUGAUCCCUGAUGAUGCUCAGAACAUUCUAGGCUUGAGUGUUACCGGCAAAUCAAUUGCAGAAGGAUAUCAUUGUCCGGAGAUAGAAUGGUUGAAGUUGCACGCUCUUACUGACAAGCUAUUUGGUUGGGACUACAAAACUUCCGUGGAAAGCUUCUAUGCACCUAAGACUAGUAGGACAAAGACCAUCAAGCUGACGCUGCUUAAGAAGAAGUUUGAAAACACGGCGCAGAGAAAAGACUAGGAUGGAUGGGACCCCGCACAGAUUCGUUAUACAGCCGCUGCGUACCUGUU